rnacentral:tRNA from 1 species
UAGUUUAUAGUUCAGUGGCAGAGCUCUUGUCUGGUAUGCAUGAGGCCCUGGGUUCAGUUCCCAGCACUAU